rnacentral:rRNA from 1 species
CUGCUGCCUUCCGUAGGAGUUUGGGCCGUGUCUCAGUCCCAAUGUGGCCGUCCACCCUCUCAGGCCGGCUACUGAUCGUCGCCUUGGUGGGCCGUUACCCCGCCAACAAGCUAGUCAGACGCGGGUCCAUCUUACACCACCGGAGUUUUUCACACAAAUCCAUGCGGCUUCGUGCGCUUAUGCGGUAUUAGCACCUAUUUCUAAGUGUUAUCCCCCAGUGUAAGGCAGGUUACCCACGCGUUACUCACCCGUCCGCCACUAAGAUUA